AAAUGCAAAUCAAAACCACAAUGACCUAUCACUUCACACCUGUUAGACUGGUUAUUAUUAAAAAGAUAACAGAUAACAAGUGCUAGUGAGAAUGUAGAGAAAAGGGAACAUUUGUGUACUGUUGGUGAGAAUGUAAAUUGGUGCAGCCAUGGAGGUUUCUCCAAAAAUUAAAAGCAGAACUACCAUAUGAUCCAUCAAUUCCACUUCUGGUAUACAGCCUAAGGAAAUUAAAAUCAUUUCAAAGAAAUGUCUGCACCCCUGUGUUUACUGCAGCACUAUUUACAACAGCUAAGAUAUGGAAACAGCCUAAGUGUCUAUUGACAGAUGAAUGGAUAGAGAAGAUAUGGUAUAUAUUUAUAUCACAAUGGAAUAUAUACAGCUAUUAAAAAAGGAGAAAAACUUGUCAUUUGGAACAACAUGGAUGAAACUUGGGGGCUUGUACUAAGUGAAAUAAGUCAGAUAGGGAAAAGACAAAUAUUGUAGAAUUUCACUUAUAUGUGGAAUUAAAAAAAAAACUCAUAGAAACAGAAAAAAAAGAUUGAUCAUGGGGGGUGAAGACAGGGGAAAUGGGUCAAAUAAAAUAGGUGUGUGUACACCCCAAAUCCUAUAGAGAUCCAGAGACUUCCUCACAAUGUCUGUGAAUUCCCAGAGGCUUAUAUCUCAGAUCUUUUGUUCUUCCUGGACUCUCCGCCUCAUUCAACUCUGUAUUUCUGUCCUCUCUGGCACCUGCCCCCCCUUCCCCCCCACACACAUGCACAAUCUGCUGCUACAGAUUAAAGUCUGUUUUCCUUUAAUUUCAUAAAACAUUACCAGCACAAGGCCAUUGUGUUUGGUAAACUCUUACCAAAAGUUCCAUGGUUGGUAUGCGUGUGUUUGUGUUAUGCCUUGACACAGGAUGGAUGGAACAUUAAGAUUAGAACAUUAAGAUUAGACUGCUUUGAAAAGACCUUGGCAUUUUACCAGCAUGGAAUGUGUAUUGGCUAACUCCUUCCCAGUGACCCUGGCCUGCAGCCACAUUACGGCUUCUCCUCUCCAGGCCUACCCCACAUAAAUUGUUUUCAUAAUCAAAUAUUUUCCAAAGAAGGAGUCUUUUCAGGAGAAGCAUAGGGACUUGAGAGAGAGGGGUAUAGAUGAGACUUACUCUCCAUCACCGUGCAGGUGACCAGGGGAUAAGCUGCUUAGAUUUUGACUCCAUAUAAGGAGAAUUUUCUGACAACAGUUUGCACAGAUUGCCUUUGCAAGACAUUUUGCCAUAAUUAUGUGGAGUGGAGGAGGAAUUCAGCCAAUGCUGAAUAUUCUCUUGCUGGAAAUGCUUCAGAGCAGUUUUGGGGAGAGAGGCAACAGGACUGCAGGUGACUUGCUUGAAGUCAUACAGCGGGAUGGGAGAGGGGCUAUGAUUUUGGUGGGGAUGAUUCCCAAGUUUGUUUCAAGAGCCCAGACUCUGUCCCUUGAUUAGCUGUGUGACCUUUUAGAGGUCAAAUAACCCCUCUAGGACUCAUGUUUCACAAGCAUAAUAUGGUUUCCUAUGCAGUGACCAGACUCUCUUAAGUGUGUGGGAGUAAAGUCAAACCUGCAGGCUCUAAGGCUUUUGUACUGGUUCCCAGCAUAAGGUAAAUACCAAUAUUUGCAUUGGGGACAUAGGGAGUUGACAUUUUCCACACAGAACUUUGUUCUUUGCCCACAGCUUCUUCGUUAGGCAACUGACAUUUGACAUUUAUUAAAAAUGAGAAAGGAAAUUUGACUCACUGAAGAGGGUAGCAACAGAAGACAACCACUGUAUCCAGGAGGGCCUACCCCAGGCUGCCUAUAAAAGCAUGACUUCUGUGUUGACCACAGGCUUGCAUCGAUGAGCGGGGCUGCCUGGAGCAGAGCUGUUGACCCAGGAAGGCAGCAAAGUGUGGGUGGAUGAUGUAUGUGAAAACACACAGUGAGACCUGCCCACCAGGGCACCAGGAACUGCCUCCCAUCAGAACUGCAGAAGUGAGCCUGGAAGCAGAUCCUGCCCUGCUGAGCCUGGAACUUAUGAAGCCCCAGCCAAGAUUCUGAUUUCAGUCUAGGAGACCCCGAGCCAGGAAACCCAGCUGAACCACCCCUGGGCCCAGAGGCUGUGAGACUACACCUGGUAGUAUUUAAGACACUAAGUUUCGGGGUGACAGGUCACACAGCAGUAGAUACCUAAAACAAAUGUGAAGGCUGCUCUCCUUCCCAGCUCUUUCUAGGCAGUGUAGUAGUCAGGGAAGGCUGGGCUGUGCUGUGUAACAAACAGUCACUAUAUCUCAGGUCUUAGAACAAGGGAGGUUUACCUCCCCCACCACAAGUACCAUGAGAGGGUGAGAGAGGGUCCUGUCACACAUGGUGGAGCCUCUACACCUUGUAGCUGCACCUAUGGAACCCUCAGUAUCCUCACAGGCUCCCAGCCCCAGAGCAGAGAAGGGAAGCAGGACAGUCACACAGGGGUUUCACUGCAUCUGCCCAGAAGGAGCACAGCCUCUGCUCAUGCUUUUGGUCAGCACUGGUCACAAGGUCCUGGCUGACUGCCAGGGACUAGAUAUGUGGGGAACAAGUGAUGCUUUGGUGAGCUCUGCUGACCCUCCACCAAGACACUUCCCCAGCCAGAGCACUAGUCCCCAAGAGGCCACAGUGAGCCUUCCUGCUCAGUCACUUCCCUGCAGAGCUGUGACCAGUGGGCACGUUGCCCUCAUGGCCACCUCCUCCAGAGCCCAACCUCCUCCUUGAGGCUCAGGCUUGAGGGACCUUAUACUCUCUAUCCUUUCUGAGGACCAGGAGAGGAUAGAAUAGAACCAAGGAACGUAUCACAGAAAAACCUUAUCCUGAAAGGAAAAUCAAUCUGCUUUUCCAGCAAGUCAGGAUCCAUCCAUCUGGGGUGGCCUCUGCCUGCAGGGACUAAGUACCCUCUCCAAAUCGGUAAGUUCUCCCCAUAUCAGGGUGGCCUCCCUCCUGCUUCACUUAGCCCCAUUCCUGGCUCUCACUGGAAGCAGAGAAUGGCUCAGGCCAGUAUUCCUGUGUACAAGUAUAUCAGCUAUUUGUAUUCAUUUCAUCACUAGCUCAUUUAAUCAGGCAUCUCCUCAGGGCCAGGCCUUCACCCCAGGCCCUUCAGUUCCUCUCACAGGAUUGCAGCCCUCAUGCUAGGCUUAACCACCCCUUAGCACACUUUCCCAAGUGCGGUUUGCAGACAGUUUCCAUAGGCUGUGGAAAGACAUUUCCUUCAGCGACACCUAAAGGACGCUCUCAGGAGCAGAGACAGAGAAAACAGAGGGGGUGCAGGCUGGAUUCCCAAGGGGGUGGGACUUGAAGGGCAGCAUCCCCUCCCUCCCUCCUUGGGGGGCUGAGAAGUGAUCAUGAAAUGAGUGGGGGGUCUUCUCUUGGAAGGUGCCCCACCCAGACCCUGCAGCUCUCAGUCCCUGUCAGGACACAGAAGAGGACAGGAGAACAGGACAGGGUGAAGAUUCAGAGCAGGAGUGUCCUGUCUGCCCAGAGGCACUGAAUCCCAGAACAUCACAGCUGAGAGAGGCCCUCCAGGGGGUCUGCUCAGUCCCCUCCUGUCGCAAAGGAGGAAGCUCCCCAGGGGUGACCCUAGCCUGGGUCACACAGGGCAGAGCCAAAACUGGAGCCAGGGCCCCUCCCUCUCUGCCUGCCCUGUGCUUCUUCCCUGCGGGAGCUGCCCAUCAGCUCUCCACCCCAGCCCCGUCCUCCCCAGGAGCUCCCCCUCCCAGCAUCACCAGCAUCUGGGCCACUGCUGGAGGUUCACCCUCCACCAGGCCUCUCCUGGGAAAGAGGAAGCCAGCACUCAGUGGGGCUUCGCAGGGCAGGACUUUGGCCAGGUGAGCAGCCCAGCCACAUCCUCCACUUGCUGGGAAGGAGGGGACCAGGGGGAGAGGAGGUUCAACCCUCAGACUGCAGGGAGGACCCACCCAGAAGGACUGGGAGCCCAGCUGGGAGGAAGAGGGAAGAAGACUUAGAGAAGGGGGGGCAGCAGGAGCUGUGAUCUACAACAGAUCUAAUCCUGAAGAGGAAGAAAAUAAAGCCGACGAGGGUGUGGGUGUAAGAUAGAGUUUAAAGUUUAUUUAAAUAAUAGAGGAGUUCCUGUCAUGGCUCAGAGGAAGGGAAUCUGACUAGAAUCCCUGAGGACUGGGUUUGAUCCUGGCCUAGCUCAGUGGGUUAAGGAUCCGGCCUUGCCAUGGGCUGUGGUGUAGGUCGCAGAAAUGGCUCAAAUCCUGUGUGGACGUGGCUGUGGCUGUGGUGUAGGUCAGCAGCUGCAGCUCUGAUUCGACCCCUAGCCUGGGAACCUCCCUAUGUCGUGGGUGCAGCCCUAAAAAGACCACACAAAAAAAGGUUUAUUUAAAUAAUAUGAAAAUCAACGCUCAUAAAGUAACCUAAAAUUUUAUCCACUUUUCUCCCCACCCUUUCUCUCUCUGUCAUCUCUGUCAUCUGUAGUUGUCCAACCCCAGACCCUGCAGAGAAAACUCUAACUAAUAUGACAUAUUUUCCAGCUCAACAAAACUGAAAAAGAAAGAAAGGCCACAUUUUACUGUGACAUAAAGUCACCUCAUUUAGAAGGAGGUAAUGUUUCGCAAGUUUGUUGUUACUUUGAGACAUCUGUUUGCAGAAGUUCCCCAAGUCAUUAAACUUUAUGUAACUCCUGCAAGAGGCUGGGAUAUGAAACAAAAAAUUUAAACAAUAAAAGCUUUCCAACUC
rnacentral:lncRNA from 1 species